AUUGAACGCUGGCGGCAGGCUUAACACAUGCAAGUCGAGCGAGCGGCGGACGGGUGAGUAAUGUCUGGGAAACUGCCUGAUGGAGGGGGAUAACUACUGGAAACGGUAGCUAAUACCGCAUACCAUCAGAUGUGCCCAGAUGGGAUUAGCUAGUAGGUGGGGUAAUGGCUCACCUAGGCGACGAUCCCUAGCUGGUCUGAGAGGAUUACCGGCCGACCGGGAACUGAGAAACGGUCCAGACUCUUAGGGGAGGCAGCGGGGGGGAAGAUUGCACAAUGGGCGAAAGCCUGAUGCAGCCAUGCGGCGUGUGUGAAGAAGGCCUUCGGGUUGUAAAGCACUUUCAGCGAGGAGGCGUUACUCGCAGAAGAAGCACCGGCUAACUCCGUGCCAGCAGCCGCGGUAAUC
rnacentral:rRNA from 1 species